GCAGGUGCAAUGUUGUAAUAGAGGUAGCAGGCCUGAGCGUGUGCAAUGUUGUAAUAGAGGUAGCAGGGCUGAGCGUGUGCAAUGUUGUAAUAGAGGUACAAGCAACACAGGGAUAGGGAGAAGGUGAUCCACAUUGCAGGGGCCUAAUUACAGGGGGCCCUGAAUGCCAAGCCAAGACUUGGAAAAUUAGAAGGUCUACAAGGACUCCAGAACUCUCCAGGAGUGAUGAAAGAUGGUGUCUUAGCCUGGGUUUCUGCAACAAGCAGAGCCUAGCACAACAUGGUGGUUUACUUUGAAAAGUGAUCCCAAGAAACAGGAGUGAGAGGCUCGGAAGAGUCAAACGGAAAGAGGACAAGCCAACCAAGUGAAAGUGUGGUGUUUGCUGUGAGAGGGAGCAGACGCUCACUGCCAUAGAUCUCAGAGACCACCAAGGCUGAAUAAGCUGAACAACGCAUGCGGAAAGUCCACAGGCCUGCACACCAAUGGCCACAGCCUGUUCUCUCCCUGCAGGUAGGACACUCAUGCGGUACCACCCUUCCUGAGGACACCUUCCUUCCAUUGCCUGGACAGCAGCAUCCUGCCCUGGGCCACCCUCCAUGUGGAUGCCCUUCCCACUUCCCCAGGGCACUGACUCCAAGCGCAAGGUGCCCUUGCAAUAGACACUCUCCUCACCCCUCUAGUUCUGCCAUCCUGCCCUGGGCCACCUUCUGUGUAGACCCCUCCUCACCCCACUGAGGGUCUGAGUCUCCGUGCCAGGACAUCCUCCCUGGACAGGACCCCCUUCGGACCCUGCUUUGGUCUCCGACACAUGCUGGGCUGCCCCCUCCUAUGUUGGCACCCUCCUCGCUCCACAUGGGCAACCUCACACUGGACCACCGCCCUUGUGUGAGCCUCUAUCUCACCCCGGUGGACUCCACCCUCCUGCUCUGGGCACGCUACUUCCUCCCCACUCAGCUACAGAGGCCUGCCUUGCUCUACCUUACCUAAUGGCUUCUGAACAGAAUUUUCUAGAAGGGAGAGGAAGAAGCAUCGAGCUGGUUCUCUUGGCCUGUUCCUGGAUCCCAUCCUUCUCCUUUGUUCCCGGCUCCUCCAUUCUCUAGGAAUCUCAAUCUCUUCCGGCAUUGCUGAGUUCUCAAGGUAGGUGAGGUUUUUGCUGGCUUCCUGCAGGGCUUCCUCUGUCUCCUACCCCAUUCCUGCACCAUCUCUGAUGGCCUGGAGCUCUCCAAGGGCCAAAGCCAUGUGGGUUCUGCGGGAAACUCUGGAAGAAUGCCUCUGCUCAACAUCUUACUUCGUCACAGUUGGCCAGAGAAUUCCCCAAUCAGUGUGCUGCCUGGGCUCCAUGUUUCACGGAGUUUGGAGUCAAACAGCUUUUACAGGAUGCCUGUAGCAGCUCUGCUCUCACCCUCCUCCUUCCCUCCACAAUCUGGAUUGGGAGACAAACCUGACUGGCAGACAGCGCCAUGCAUGUGGGAUUUCCUCCCAUAUCCCAGCUUAGGCCUUGCACUGACCAAUUCAAGCUUAUAGUGCCCUCAUUCCUGUCCUCUUAAAAUAAUUAAUCUCCCUGGCUCUCAUACAAACAAACUUCUGGUUGCCCACCACCACCCAUUCUAGACCUUUUAAAAGCCCAAUUGUGGGCACAGCUUGGGCUUACGAGGGACGUCCUUCAACUAUCUGGCUGAGCAUGCUUCUCUUACACUGUUCUCCCUCCCCUCAGUGUGCCCUGUGUGCCAAAGCAGCGUCCAUGUUUUGUUACCCACCCGUUGACUAAGACCUCUGUGAUACCGAGGCCUGAGGAGCUGCGAGCCCCCAUGGCAGAGGCAGGCAAAGGCCCAUCUGCUAAAACUCAGGUCCACGUGCAACCUCAAAAGCACCCUGGAACACCUUUUCCUUCCAUCUCUCUUAGGUUUUAGCCAGCCAGGAGGAAAUUAGAAUUUUUUUUCCCAUUUUAUGAUGAGUUAUGGAAGAAUUAGGUAAAGGAACAUUUAAGCUCCCUACUGCUGGGAAACUUGUCUAUGGUGAGAGAUUUAUCAGACCUGGGUGUGUCACCAGGGGAGGCUAGGAAACCUCAUUACUGAAUAUAGAGCCCCAGACCAGGUCUUGGAGACUCUAUCAUUGAUCCAGAUAACCCAACUCUGCUUUUUCACUUGCCAUCCUUUUAAAUUCCCAAAUCCUAACUCAAAUGCAUAGGCUGUCUUUCAAAGAGCAAUGACAAGAGAAAGGCAUGCACGCUGCGUAUGAGAGGGGAGGGGAGGUUCCUGCGGCAGAAGAAGCAAGGUGAGGCACAAGUAACACUGACCGAAAUAGAAAGAGCAUGACUCAGCUGGGCGUGGUGGCUCGCACCUGGAAUCCCAGCACCAUGGGAGGCCAAGGCGGGCAGAUCACCUGAGGUCAGGAGUUCAAGACCAGCCUGGCCAAUAUGGCAAAACCCCAUCUCUACUAAAAAUACAAAAAUUAGCUAGGCGUGGUGGCGGGCACCUGUAAUCCCAGCUACUCGGGAGGCUGAGGGGGAGGAUUGCUUGAAACCAGGAGGCAGAGGUUUCAGUGAGCUGAGAUUGUGCCACUGCACUCCAGCCCAGGCAACAGAGCAACACUCCAUCUCCAAAAAAGAAAAAAAAGAACAAAAGAAAAAGUAUGACUCGACAGCCUUGGCAUUGGGCAGGCAUUCAGCCCCAUGUUAAGGACCCUUGGACCUUUUGGAGUCCAGAGAGUGACUCACCCCUGACCAGGGGCAAUCCUACUCUCAGCUCCAACAGUGUUCUUCUGACUCACGGGUACCCCAACCACACUUGGCACUAAAGUUCUGGCUCAUGAGAACAGGAAAAAGGAGAAGCAGAGGCAUCAUAUGCUCCCAGGCAUCAUUCUGUGGGCUCUCUACUUUCCACUGAGCCUGUGAGUCCAGCAGGGACUGGGGUUGGGAUGCAGUUUUCAGAGACCUGUGACUACACCUUUGUUACUGGAUAGACUCCUCAGCCCUGGAUCAGCCACAGCCCUCUCCCAGGAAGCCCCUCAACUCUCUGCUAUUACCCUUCUCCAAGGCCUGAAAACAGGACUCUCUCUUCGAGAAGAUCACAGACCCUUGAGAAGAUACAGAAAUUCUCUGCUCGGCCCAAGUCAAAAUAAAAUGACUGAAUAGGCCAGGGCAGCACAGACGAGAGAGGAGUUUUCUCUGGGGCAGUGGUUCUCCAAGUGUAGUCACUGAGCAAGCAGCAGCAGAGUCAGCUGGGAACUUGUGGGACAUACAGAUCCUGGAGCCCCACCCAGACUACUGAAGCAGAACCUCCUGGGGUGGCGCUGGCAAUCUGUGUUUUAAUAAGCCCUCCUCAUUCUGAUGUCCUCUAAAGUGUGAGAACCACAGCUCCAGAAUACUGCAGGGCAGUGACGGGUGGAGGAGAAGGAGUAGGGCUGACUUCUCAGAAGAGUCCCGAAGACCUUGUCCUUGAGUCUGCAGAGAAGUUCACCAGGCAGACAAAGAAAGAAAGAGCAAGCCCAGGCAUACCCACAAGUACCAUCUGAGCUCUGCAUACCUUCUGAUAUAUGUUUAAUAAUCUUGGAAUAACAAUUGUAUUGAUAUUAUGUUGUUUAGAGUAAGUGGCAAUGUAUUCUUUGAAGAGUUAAAACUGUUUUCUGUGUUUAGAAAAGUUCUCACUUGAACUUAAUUUUGUGUUCUAAAUUUAACUAAGGAUUAUUUUUAUACAAACUUUUGAAAGCUUACUAAAUUUAUCUGAUUAACUUGUUAACAGUAGGUAGUUAGGCAGACAUAAGCAGGGCAGACCCCCACCCCCACCCCAGGAACGUCAGACAACCAUCAGGUGAUGGUCAGGAAGUUGUUCCACUGCUCCCUAAAAUAAUAACUGAUCGCACCCAGCACCAGGGAAAGGCAGUCUCCCAAUAGAUAGAAAACACCUGGCCGGGCACGGUGGCUCACGCCUG
rnacentral:lncRNA from 1 species